GACGAACGCUGGCGGCGUGCUUAACACAUGCAAGUCGAGCGGUAAGGCCCUUUCGGGGGUACGACGAGCGGCGAACGGGUGAGUAACACGUGGGUGACCUGCCCUCCAGCUCUGGGAGUAAGCCUGGGAAACGUGGGUCGUAAUACCGGAUAUGACUCCAUGACGCAUGUUGUGGGGUGGAAAGCCUUGUGCGGCUGAGGAUGGGCCCGCGGCCUAUCAGCUUGUUGGUGGGGUGAUGGCCUACCAAGGCGACGACGGGUAGCCGGCCUGAGAGGGCGACCGGCCACACUGGGACUGAGACACGGCCCAGACUCCUACGGGAGGCAGCAGUGGGGAAUCUUGCGCAAUGGGCGAAAGCCUGACGCAGCGACGCCGCGUGAGGGAUGACGGCCUGUGU
rnacentral:rRNA from 1 species